UUAAGUUAUUAAGGGCGCACGGUGGAUGCCUUGGCACUAGAAGCCGAUGAAGGACGUUACUAACGACGAUAUGCUUUGGGGAGCUGUAAGUAAGCUUUGAUCCAGAGAUUUCCGAAUGGGGAAACCCAGCAUGAGUUAUGUCAUGUUAUCGAUAUGUGAAUACAUAGCAUAUCAGAAGGCACACCCGGAGAACUGAAACAUCUUAGUACCCGGAGGAAGAGAAAGAAAAUUCGAUUCCCUUAGUAGCGGCGAGCGAAACGGGAAGAGCCCAAACCAACAAGCUUGCUUGUUGGGGUUGUAGGACACUCUAUACGGAGUUACAAAGGACGACAUUAGACGAAUCAUCUGGAAAGAUGAAUCAAAGAAGGUAAUAAUCCUGUAGUCGAAAAUGUUGUCUCUCUUGAGUGGAUCCUGAGUACGACGGAGCACGUGAAAUUCCGUCGGAAUCUGGGAGGACCAUCUCCUAAGGCUAAAUACUCUCUAGUGACCGAUAGUGAACCAGUACCGUGAGGGAAAGGUGAAAAGCACCCCGGAAGGGGAGUGAAAUAGAACCUGAAACCGUGUGCUUACAAGUAGUCAGAGCCCGUUAAUGGGUGAUGGCGUGCCUUUUGUAGAAUGAACCGGCGAGUUACGAUUUGAUGCAAGGUUAAGCAGUAAAUGUGGAGCCGUAGCGAAAGCGAGUCUGAAUAGGGCGUUUAGUAUUUGGUCGUAGACCCGAAACCAGGUGAUCUACCCUUGGUCAGGUUGAAGUUCAGGUAACACUGAAUGGAGGACCGAACCGACUUACGUUGAAAAGUGAGCGGAUGAACUGAGGGUAGCGGAGAAAUUCCAAUCGAACCUAGAGAUAGCUGGUUCUCUCCGAAAUAGCUUUAGGGCUAGCCUCAAGUGAUGAUUAUUGGAGGUAGAGCACUGUUUGGACGAGGGGCCCCUCUCGGGUUACCGAAUUCAGACAAACUCCGAAUGCCAAUUAAUUUAACUUGGGAGUCAGAACAUGGGUGAUAAGGUCCGUGUUCGAAAGGGAAACAGCCCAGACCACCAGCUAAGGUCCCAAAAUAUAUGUUAAGUGGAAAAGGAUGUGGCGUUGCCCAGACAACUAGGAUGUUGGCUUAGAAGCAGCCAUCAUUUAAAGAGUGCGUAAUAGCUCACUAGUCGAGUGACACUGCGCCGAAAAUGUACCGGGGCUAAACAUAUUACCGAAGCUGUGGAUUGUCCUUUGGACAAUGGUAGGAGAGCGUUCUAAGGGCGUUGAAGCAUGAUCGUAAGGACAUGUGGAGCGCUUAGAAGUGAGAAUGCCGGUGUGAGUAGCGAAAGACGGGUGAGAAUCCCGUCCACCGAUUGACUAAGGUUUCCAGAGGAAGGCUCGUCCGCUCUGGGUUAGUCGGGUCCUAAGCUGAGGCCGACAGGCGUAGGCGAUGGAUAACAGGUUGAUAUUCCUGUACCACCUAUAAUCGUUUUAAUCGAUGGGGGGACGCAGUAGGAUAGGCGAAGCGUGCGAUUGGAUUGCACGUCUAAGCAGUAAGGCUGAGUAUUAGGCAAAUCCGGUACUCGUUAAGGCUGAGCUGUGAUGGGGAGAAGACAUUGUGUCUUCGAGUCGUUGAUUUCACACUGCCGAGAAAAGCCUCUAGAUAGAAAAUAGGUGCCCGUACCGCAAACCGACACAGGUAGUCAAGAUGAGAAUUCUAAGGUGAGCGAGCGAACUCUCGUUAAGGAACUCGGCAAAAUGACCCCGUAACUUCGGGAGAAGGGGUGCUCUUUAGGGUUAACGCCCAGAAGAGCCGCAGUGAAUAGGCCCAAGCGACUGUUUAUCAAAAACACAGGUCUCUGCUAAACCGUAAGGUGAUGUAUAGGGGCUGACGCCUGCCCGGUGCUGGAAGGUUAAGAGGAGUGGUUAGCUUCUGCGAAGCUACGAAUCGAAGCCCCAGUAAACGGCGGCCGUAACUAUAACGGUCCUAAGGUAGCGAAAUUCCUUGUCGGGUAAGUUCCGACCCGCACGAAAGGCGUAACGAUUUGGGCACUGUCUCAACGAGAGACUCGGUGAAAUCAUAGUACCUGUGAAGAUGCAGGUUACCCGCGACAGGACGGAAAGACCCCGUGGAGCUUUACUGUAGCCUGAUAUUGAAAUUCGGCACAGCUUGUACAGGAUAGGUAGGAGCCUUUGAAACGUGAGCGCUAGCUUACGUGGAGGCGCUGGUGGGAUACUACCCUAGCUGUGUUGGCUUUCUAACCCGCACCACUUAUCGUGGUGGGAGACAGUGUCAGGCGGGCAGUUUGACUGGGGCGGUCGCCUCCUAAAAGGUAACGGAGGCGCUCAAAGGUUCCCUCAGAAUGGUUGGAAAUCAUUCAUAGAGUGUAAAGGCAUAAGGGAGCUUGACUGCGAGACCUACAAGUCGAGCAGGGUCGAAAGACGGACUUAGUGAUCCGGUGGUUCCGCAUGGAAGGGCCAUCGCUCAACGGAUAAAAGCUACCCCGGGGAUAACAGGCUUAUCUCCCCCAAGAGUUCACAUCGACGGGGAGGUUUGGCACCUCGAUGUCGGCUCAUCGCAUCCUGGGGCUGUAGUCGGUCCCAAGGGUUGGGCUGUUCGCCCAUUAAAGCGGUACGCGAGCUGGGUUCAGAACGUCGUGAGACAGUUCGGUCCCUAUCCGUCGUGGGCGUAGGAAAUUUGAGAGGAGCUGUCCUUAGUACGAGAGGACCGGGAUGGACAUACCUCUGGUGUACCAGUUGUCGUGCCAACGGCAUAGCUGGGUAGCUAUGUGUGGACGGGAUAAGUGCUGAAAGCAUCUAAGCAUGAAGCCCCCCUCAAGAUGAGAUUUCCCAACUUCGGUUAUAAGAUCCCUCAAAGAUGAUGAGGUUAAUAGGUUCGAGGUGGAAGCAUGGUGACAUGUGGAGCUGACGAAUACUAAUCGAUCGAAGACUUAAUCAA
rnacentral:rRNA from 1 species